AUUUAUAUUGGAAGGGCUGCAAGUUAGUGAAACAAUAAGCCAAGACAGAACAGAGAAGAUUUUGGGACGAUUCAGGUACACUAAUACACUCCCUUCUAUUUAUUUUUAUUUAUCAUAGAUGGGCUAACUGUAGCAAUGUAGCGUAGACGUCUAUAGAAACACCAAUUUCUUUACUAAAUCCAAUGAUGCAUGUGAGGCAGUGAAGGACAAUACAUGUGACAGUUCUCUUGCCUCAAACCUUAAACAUCUAACAGAGAGAGCAUGCCCUCCCUGAAGAUGAUGGAAAUAAAUAUACCCAAACAGUUAUUAGAAGCAAAUAAAAAGCAGGAGUAUAUGAUCCUUAGGGCAUUUGAGUGAAAGCAACCUCUCUUCUAAGAAAGUUAAGACCUCUCUUCUAAGCCUUAAGUUAUAUAUCAAGUCCGAUUUCUUUGUGAAAUUAAAAGAAGCCUUUUUUUCAAUUUUGUGUUGGAAUGGAUCUUCUUCUUCUAUGUAGAACGAUCUGGAACUCUUUGUUGAGGAGCAACACACUUAAUGUGGAGAAUAUGAAGAUCAAGAGAGAAUACAUGAUUUAUUGAGCUUGGAGGAACUCGAAAAGCUUAAGGUGGAGCAAAAAAUACUGCUAAUGAGGAAGGAAUUCCAGCCUAACAUCGUACAAUUUCUAGAAUUUGCCCUGGUUCUCCACUUAUUUAAGGCUUAUUGAAAUCUAGUUAAUCAUAUGCGUUAUGGUCUUAUGGAGUUUGUUGGCUUGCUUUGAACUAAUAAGCGUCGGCUUAGCUUUCUGCACAUUUCAUGCUGCCAAGGUUCAAGGUUCUCACCAAGAAUGAAGACUGAGUAAGUUUAUUUACAAUGUAUGGGAAUUCUCAACGUAAGUUUGUUAACUCUAGGAACUAUGAUCCAUAAGCUAACGUAAGCACUAACAUAGGGUUUACACUUGUUACCAGAUCCCCAACAUGAGUGCUCAAAUUUACAUCUUUACGACAAAGAGGAGGAACUUGAGAUGCUUAAGGUGGAGCACAAAAAACUACAAUAAAUGGAGUAAUUCAAGCCGAACAUGGUAUAGUUUCUAAAUCUAUCUCUGGUUCUCCACUUAAUUUACAGUAUAUGUUAUGUGGAAAUGAUUCAUAAUUAUUUUUAGAAUUUGGCUAGUCAUAUGUGACUAAGAUUUAGGGAGCUUGUUGAUGGUAGGCUCGCUUUAAACUAAUUGUUUGAUGGAAGUUUCUGCUUAGAUUUGAGACUAGCUCCAUCCACUCUUGGUCGUUUUCUUUCUACUAUGUGUUUUAUCUUUCGCGAAGUCAUUAGGAACAUCAAUUGGUGCGGACAGAAACGAUGAUUCUGACUUUGGUACCUUUUUCCUAAAAUCAUCAUGCUAGGCUUGUGACUAUAGCAGGUAUGAGGUUGCGAAGAUGGCAAUGGAGUGAACCAAUGAAAAGUUCAACAAUAUUUUCUAACUUGUGUGCAGAUUCUUGAACUUUUUAAUAGGGGGAAAAUAGGAACAAGAGAUCUACAUGAAAUGGAAUGAUGAAAAUAACAAAUCAAAUACAAAGAAUACACGUUUUGAGCUAAGUCAGUCACUAACAAUAACACAUGUUUCUUGCAGAUAAGAAAGAGACGAUAAAGACAAAGAAGAAGGACGAGAAUCUUGACCGUAACAAACCCGAAAAGCUUUGUUUCUUCAUUCAUUAUAUUCUGGUACUUCAAUAUUUGAAUACUCAAAUAUUUUCUAACUAUCUGUUUUGUAUACAGUUUGAUUGCAAAAAGUUGAACAAAGAGUUUGUCGAGAAGAGCAUCAAGGGAUCAAAAAGUCAACUCUUACCGCCCAUAUCUCAUUGGAAUGAAAAGUAAUAAAAUAAAAUUUUAUUCAUUGUUACUUGUGGAAUUGAUUUGUCGGUUUUGAAGAAAUUCUUGUUGUAGGAAUUGCGAGUUAAUGGAAGCGUGCAUGAAAGAAGUGGAAGCUUUAUUAAAUUGUAGCUGACUACAUUUCAGUGAACAACUAAUAUGAUCUGAAUUCAUUCUCGUUUGAUA
rnacentral:lncRNA from 1 species